rnacentral:lncRNA from 1 species
AGUAAGAAGGAAAAACCGGUUCUUUUCUUCUUCUUUGAGAGCGAUUGCUGAUUUGUUCGAGAGAGGGCCCCACUGCUAGACCUUAUUAUGCAGUAUUGACUAUUGUGUUUUUGUUUUCUAUUGCAUUCCAUGGGAGCCAUCUUACUUUGUAAUGGCCUAGGAAAUACAACGAAAAUAAAUUGGCUAUAAACAGGGAGGUUAUUAGGAUAUCUCCCACAAUAUCCCCCAUAUUCGCGAGCCUUCUUAUAAGGCGACGUUUAAAUAGAUAAUUAAUUAAAUACUCUUUACUUUUUUACUCUAGGUGUGUUGCUAGCUUUCAUUAUUUGAGGGGAGCAGGCUUAGUCCCAAAAUUAUCAACACCGUUAUAUAAUUUCUUACAAGUAUAAUAGGAUUAUCCGAUUCAGAUAAAAUAUGCACCGUUUUGUUAAAUAACUUUUGUCCCUUUUGAAUGGAAUUUCAUAAUUCCGUGAUUGAUAAUCGCUUGAUGCAAGGUCUGGACUCUACAACGAGUGUGAUAGAACAUCCCAGCUCUCGGAGCUUCUAGUGUGUCGUUAAAGAUGUGUGUGGCCUGGUGUUGUCUUGAUAGACUACAACGCCCUUUCCAUUGGUCAAUUCUGGUAGCUUCUGGUCGAUCGCCUGCUUCAACCUCGUUAGUUGUUGACAAUAUAAGUCCGAGUUGAGUGUUUUGCUCGAUGGGGAGCAGCUCAUAUUGAUGAUUCCCUUCCAAUCCACCAAAAAAAAAAGCAUAACCAUCUUGGACGUUAAUCUGGGCAAGGCGAUCGUUUGAGCCGCUUCAUUGUACUUUGAUAAAGAUCUUUUUCAGCUGUUGUUCUGGGAUAUGACCCAUUUUUCAUCGCCUGUCACCACACAGCUCAAAAAUGGAUGGAUUUCGCUACGUUUCAGCAAAGAGUCGCAAAUAUUUUAUAUAUUUAGCCAAUUUAAAUCGAGAUUUAAUGAAUUUCAUUAACUUUUUUGCUUAAAUUAGUUCGGAUAAAUUGAGAAUAAUGGCUCCAAGUGAAAAUAUGUAUUGACUUAAUAUUAUACACUAAACAUUGUGACUUGUUCUGAGGGUCUUUAUGUGGAGAGGGGGUGGCUUUCAUUUGAAAAAUUGUCGUUCUAAAUCAGGGUUUUUGAACUUUUUUGAUAGAAAAAUGCAAUUUGUGCGAGAGAUUGAUGAGAAAUGCGUAAGAUUUGAAAGUUGUAAUUUACACCAAGGAUAUUUUAUGUACAACUUGCAAUUUUUACCCCUCAGAACGUUUAGUUUAAUUAGGAGUAAUAAAGCCCGUCAUUUUAAUAACUAACUGUCAACUAUUAAUUGAUGCUAUUAAUUUUGAUCUCUAAAUUAUUUAUUUACUAAAUACAUAUAGGAGUAAUCCCAUUGUGGCCAAUUA